CCUACGGGGGGCAGCAGUGGGGAAUAUUGGACAAUGGGGGCAACCCUGAUCCAGCCAUGCCGCGUGUGUGAAGAAGGCCCUCGGGUUGUAAAGCACUUUCAGUGAGGAAGAACGCCUGGUGGUUAAUACCCAUCAGGAAAGACAUCACUCACAGAAGAAGCACCGGCUAACUCCGUGCCAGCAGCCGCGGUAAUACGGAGGGUGCGAGCGUUAAUCGGAAUUACUGGGCGUAAAGCGCGCGUAGGUGGCUUGAUAAGCCGGUUGUGAAAGCCCCGGGCUCAACCUGGGAACGGCAUCCGGAACUGUCAAGCUAGAGUGCAGGAGAGGAAGGUAGAAUUCCCGGUGUAGCGGUGAAGUGCGUAGAGAUCGGGAGGAAUACCAGUGGCGAAGGCGGCCUUCUGGACUGACACUGACACUGAGGUGCGAAAGCGUGGGUAGCAAACAGGAUUAGAUACCCGUGUAGUC
rnacentral:rRNA from 1 species